GAUCCUGGCUCAGAAUCAACGCUGGCGGCGUGCCUAACACAUGCAAGUCGAACGCGAAAGCUCCGCAAGGGGCAAGUAGAGUGGCAAACGGGUGAGUAACACGUGGGUGACCUGCCUUCGAGCGGGGGAUAACGUCCCGAAAGGGACGCUAAUACCGCAUAACAUCCUGCCUUUGAAGAGGCGGAGAUCAAAGCCGGGGAUCGCAAGACCUGGCACUCGGAGAGGGGCCCGCGCCUGAUUAGCUAGUUGGUGGGGUAAUGGCCUACCAAGGCAACGAUCAGUAUCCGGCCUGAGAGGGCGGACGGACACACUGGGACUGAGACACGGCCCAGACUCCUACGGGAGGCGGCAGUGGGGAAUUGUUCGCAAUGGGCGCAAGCCUGACGACGCAACGCCGCGUGGAGGAUGAAGAUCUUCGGGUCGUAAACUCCUGUCGAAUGGGACGAAUAGGUUGCGGGUGAACAGCCCGCGACAUUGACGGUACCGUUAAAGGAAACCCCGGCUAACUCCGUGCCAGCAGCCGCGGUAAUACGGGGGGGGUAAGCGUUGUUCGGAAUUACUGGGCGUAAAGGGCUCGUAGGCGGCCAACUAAGUCAGACGUGAAAUCCCUCAGCUUAACUGGGGAACUGCGUCUGAUACUGGAUGGCUUGGAUCCGGGAGAGGGAUGCGGAAUUCCAGGUGUAGCGGUGA
rnacentral:rRNA from 1 species